rnacentral:rRNA from 1 species
GAAGGGAUAGGGUCGGUUCGGCCGGAUUUCACACAGGUGUUGCAUGGCUGUCGUCAGCUCGUGUCGUGAGAUGUUGGGUUAAGUCCCGCAACGAGCGUAACCCUCAUCCUUAGUUACCAUCGGGUAAUGCUGGGGACUUUAAGGAAACUGCUAGUGAUAAACUGGAGGAAGGUGGGGAUGAUGUCAAGUCAUCAUGGCCUUUAUGGAGUGGGCUACACACGUGCUACAAUGGUGGCUACAAUGGGCUGCAAAGUCGCGAGGCUAAGCUAAUCUCUUAAAAGCCAUCUCAGUUCGGAUUGUACUCUGCAACUCGAGUGCAUGAAGUUGGAAUCGCUAGUAAUCGUGGAUCAGCAUGCCACGGUGAAUACGUUCUCGGGUCUUGUACACACUGCCCGUCACGCCAUGGGAAUUGGUU